UACGAAGGGGGCGAGCGUUGUUCGGAAUCACUGGGCGUAAAGCGUGCGUAGGCGGUUAUAAAAGUUAGAAGUGAAAGCCCAGGGCUCAACCUUGGAAUUGCUUUUAAAACUAGAUAACUCGAAUCUCGGAGAGGAUAGCGGAAUUGUCAGUGUAGCAGUGAAAUGCGUAGAUAUUGACAGGAACACCAGUGGCGUAAGCGGCUAUCUGGACGAGUAUUGACGCUGAGGCACGAAAGCGUGGGGAUCAAACAGG
rnacentral:rRNA from 1 species